CAAACUGAAGAUGGCGACCGGCGCACGGGUGAGUAACACGUAUCCAACCUGCCGAUAACUCUGGAAUAGCCUUUCGAAAGAAAGAUUAAUACCGGAUGGCAUACGAAUAUCGCAUGAUAUUUUUAUUAAAGAAUUUCGGUUAUCGAUGGGGAUGCGUUCCAUUAGUUUGUUGGCGGGGUAACGGCCCACCAAGACAACGACGGAUAGGGGUUCUGAGAGGAAGGUCCCCCACGUUGGAACUGAGACACGGUCCAA
rnacentral:rRNA from 1 species